AAAGAGGUAAAUGCAGGUUUAUAAAGGAUGUUAAUGCAAAUAAGUGGAACAUUCAUGCUCCAUGGAAGUAAAGACCCAAUUGUGAAGGAAAUAUGCUAAAGUCAUAUCUGCAUUUGAUGUCUUCCUGAGCUAUUUACUCUCUGCGGAGCCUACUUUAACUUCUUUGGGGUAUAUUAACUGCAGUAUAUUAACUGCUUUUGCAGAAUUACCUCAAGUCACAGCAGAAAAGGACUGAACCGGGAUUCAAUUUUAUAUCUGUUUUACUCUAAAAACACUGACCUUGUCCUUGCACGCAACCUUUAGAAAGUUCAUAUGUAAAACAGAACAUUCCCUCUGCUGCUAAACAACCAGGAAUAGCUAUUAAUAUAGCGCAAGAGGGACUUGGAACAGUUUAACGUUGGAUGAUGGGAAUUGGUGUUGAUCAGGGCUGCAAGCAGAACACAGCUGCAGUGUUAAAUUUAAAAGGCUACCUUGUCCUUGGUAAGAGGGUGAUAGGAGGGGCUCUCUGGAGCUGGCUGUGGUUCUUCUGGGCUUAGAAGUGAACCUGGUGAAGUGGACUACAGAGCAAACCUUUGGAAGUUCCACUGAAAGCAUCUGGAGUUCCUUGAUCCCUGAACAGAAAAGGAGACAUGAUAGCAGAACUUUCAGUGGCUGACAAAAACCUAAACACAGAGUAGAGAGUCUCUCCUCCAGAGCAAUCCUGAGUGUCUCAGAUACAAUGGCUCCAAGGAACACCUGCUUAUCACCAAAAGGAAUGCGUUUUAAGAUAAGAGACUCCUGCAUCCCUUCCAUGACCUAGGAGGUAGGGUUCUCCUGUGAUUUCUGUAAAUGCCAAAGCCCUUGGCUUCCUAGGAUACUUUAUGUUUCAAAAUCUUUUGGGUAAGUACCACACUUGAUCAAAGAAAAAAGUAAAAGACAAACUUCUUUUUUUCCCCGAAACCCAGGAACUUGUUCUCACUGGCGCUAACAGAAAAACAGCUUUAUAAACCAUUGCUGUAUGCUGUUGAACAAAGAUGCCCGAUUCAUGCUUUAAAAGGAGGCUCCUGGAAGAACAGCCUGAAGACACUGUCUCAGAUCAAAAGCAGCCUCAAAAGGACAUCUUUUUCAAAUUCAAUUACUGACUCUGGGGACUUACAUGGAGGAGUUAUGGUUAUGAAGAAGAAAAGAUCAACCACUUGGAUCUGAAGAUGUUUACAGCAUUAAGAUAGAUGGAUUAUUCAAGGUCGGAUCCUAAUAUUUUCUCUUCUGAUGAGACAAUUUAAAAAGAUAAGUGCCGAUUUUUGCUUUCAGAGUCAUCAGCUCUGUAUUUUUCCCCUUGUCUCCUGACAUUCUCUUGGAUUUGUGGUGUUAAUUACAUUCCACUAACCUUGGCUUCUAGAAUGCCAAGACUCUUAGCUGCUAAGAUCCACAAAUAACAUCAAUUAGAUAAAUGGGGCGUUUCCACUCUCUCAUGCAACCCUGUUGGAUCUGCAAGUGCAGCGCUAAUAACUCCUAGGAUUCUGCUGCAUGGUCCUGACUUCAAAUAUUUUGAGAAUGAAUGUAAAUUAGAGUAUUUCGACUUUUAGUUUGGAUAAUAUAAUCACUAUAUAUAUGAAAUAUUAAAACUUUGAAAUGAAAAUUGUUCUCAUUUUAAAACUCCAGG
rnacentral:lncRNA from 1 species